rnacentral:rRNA from 1 species
UGCUAAUACCGCAUACGGCCUUGUACUGGGAUGUACGAGGAGAAAGGAUUUAUUCGCUGAGGGAUGGGCCUGCGGCCUAUCAGGUAGUUGGUGGGGUAAAGGCCUACCAAGCCUGCGACGGGUAGCCGGACUGAGAGGUCGACCGGCCACACUGGAACUGAGACACGGUCCAGACUCCUACGGGAGGCAGCAGUGGGGAAUAUUGCACAAUGGGGGAAACCCUGAUGCAGCGACGCCGCGUGGAGGAUGACGGCCUUCGGGUUGUAAACUCCUUUUGUCAGGGACAAUGGUGAUGGUACCUGACGAAUAAGCCACGGCUAACUCUGUGCCAGCAGCCGCGGUAAGACAGAGGUGGCGAGCGUUGUUCGGAAUUACUGGGCUUAAAGGGCGCGUAGGCGGUGGUGUAAGUCUGGGGUGGAAUGCUACAGCUCAACUGUAGAGCUGCCUUGGAAACUGCAUUACUUGAGUCGGUGAGGGGAAGGCGGAAUUCCUGGUGUAGCGGUGAAAUGCGUAGAUAUCAGGAGGAAGGUCUGUGGCGAAGGCGGCCUUCUGGCACUUGACUGACGCUGAGGCGCGAAAGCGUGGGGAGCAAACAGGAUUAGAUACCCUGGUAGUCCACGCCCUAAACGGUGGGUAUUAGGUGUGGGGCCUUCAUGGGUUCCGUGCCGUAGCGAAAGCA